rnacentral:rRNA from 1 species
UACAGAGGGUGCGAGCGUUGUUCGGAAUUAUUGGGCGUAAAGAGCUCGUAGGCGGUGUGUCACGUCGGCCGUGAAAACCUGGGGCUUAACUCUGGGCGUGCGGUCGAUACGGGCAUCACUAGAGUUCGGCAGGGGAGACUGGAAUUCCUGGUGUAGCGGUGAAAUGCGCAGAUAUCAGGAGGAACACCGGUGGCGAAGGCGGGUCUCUGGGCCGAUACUGACGCUGAGGAGCGAAAGCAUGGGUAGCGAACAGG